AUGGCGGCCAAGCAGGCUGCUGCGCUAGCGGCGACGGCGCUGGCGCUGGGUAUGUCGAGCGUCACCGACUUGGACUGUAGCCUCCUGUCGUCCCCAAUGGACCCCUUCUUCGACCCCAUCACCUCCUGCGACCGGCGCCGCGGCGUUGGCGGCAAGCUCAGCGGUGCCAGCUCGCCCCCAUCGGCCAAGCAGCAGCUGCAGCAGCAGUGCGGCGCCGACGCGAUUCUUGACAUGCUCGGCGCGAAGACGCCACUGCCGCCGAGGGACUGGCUGCUGCACUCCGUGCACAUGCUUCCGCCGCUGCUGCUGUAG
rnacentral:rRNA from 1 species